rnacentral:rRNA from 1 species
GAUGAAUGCUAGCGGGGGGCCUAACACAUGCAAGUCGAACGUAUUUAUUUACGUGGCAAACGGGUGCGUAACACGUACUUAUCUGCCCUGGAGUGGGGGAUAACAUCGGAAACGGUGAUAAUCCGCCAUAAUCCCUACGGGGGAAAGAUUUAUCGCUCUAGGAGGAGGGUGCGGCCUAUUAGUUAGUUGGUAAGGUAACGGCUUACCAAGACGAUGAUGGGUAGCUGGUCUGAGAGGAUGAUCAGCCACAAUGGAACUGAGACACGGUCCAUACCCCUACGGGGGGCAGCAGUGGGGAAUAUUGCACAAUGGAGGAAACUCUGAUGCAGCCACCCCGCGUGGAGGAUGACGCAUUACGGUGUGUAAACUCCUUUUCUGGAGGAAGACGACUGACGGUACUCCAGGAAUAAGCGACGGCUAACUACG